CAGUAGCCACGGUAAUACGAAGGGGGCUAGCGUUGCUCGGAAUUACUGGGCGUAAAGCGUGCGUAGGCGGUGAGUUAAGUCUGCUGUGAAAUCCCCGGGCUCAACCUGGGAAUGGCAGUGGAUACUGGCUCGCUAGAGUGUGUCAGAGGAUGGUGGAAUUCCCGGUGUAGCGAUGAAAUGCGUAGAGAUCGGGAGGAACAUCAGUGGCGAAGGCGGCCAUCUGGGACAACACUGACGCUGAGGCACGAAAGCGUGGGGAGCAAACAGGAUUAGAUACCCGUGUAGUCCAUGUCUCUUAUAC
rnacentral:rRNA from 1 species